UGUCAUUUUGAAGUGUAUGUGAAGACGUAGUAGGUAGCGUUGAUCAUGGUAGCACUGGUUUUGAGGACUUUGGCGCCCAUCAGUUCUACUCCAUAUUUCCCAAUCGGUUUCACUAGCCUUGUAAAGUGUUCGUUUUAUUUCCAUGAAACGUGUGAUUUUUUGUUAAUAAUUUGAAUAUUAGCCGAAAUUGUUUAAUUUGUGUUGUUUUAUUCGUGCGUGUUGGAUCCAGAUUAGACAUGAGCCGAGAGUUUUAAGAAGGUUAGGUUCCCUCACUAGACUAACACUGUCGCACUCUGACGCCUCGGGAAGUGUGUACUUCUACCAUAAUGGACAGUACUUACCUGUCCUUUGCCAUCUGCUUAAGACUCGGUGAGUUAACCAUUUAAAUAUUUAAAUUAAGUAAUUGCAUAUGUUAUGUUGUCGUCAGACUAUGAAGGAAUUAUGAUGACAC